GAUUUGUUGGAGAAUUCAAAUCCUCGGGAUUAUGGCAGGAAAAGAGAGAAAUCUUUAAAAUGUCUUCUUUAGCACAGCCAGCUGCCAUGGAGACUUAAAAGUAGAUGACCUGGGCAAGAGAUGUUAUCAACUGAUUUUUAAUGAAGAUUGCUCUCCUGAAUGCCAAGUAUAGGAGCUCCCCAAAGCUUAAGCCGGGAAAGGAAAGACAGCCAAUAAACCAUUACUGAGCCGGCCACCGUUUGGUAUCAAGCACAACUGAAGGAUGGGUCUUCUGGGACUGAGCUAGGAGAGGCUGCAUGAAAGACUGCAUCCUAGAAUGGUUGAGUGCCCUGAGAAGUCGGCUCUAUGAAGACUGGGGUAUGGUCUGUGUUUCACUGCUAUAUUCCCAGCAUUGGGACAUCACAGAUGUGAAGCAAGUGUAUCUUCACUGAAUGAAUUUCUUUAAAAUGUUUAAUAAUCAUC